CCUCACCCCUCCACCCCUCAACCCUCCACCCUACCAGCCAAGUCUGGAAGUCUCGCAGGAAGGACCUAUGGAAAGGAAAUCGAUGAAAUCUGCUUUUGUGGGAAUUGUUGUAUUUUUAUUUUGACAUUCCUGGUACUGGUAUACAAUUAUAUAGAGAAUGUAGCACCUCUAACGCAAAUUACGUGACCGUAACCGUUUUUUUAUAUCCUCACUAAGCACUCUUUUUGAAUCUUGUGUCACGAUAGUUAUUACGUUGGGACCCGUCGUAGACUAAACCGUUUGGAGGAACUUUUGACUUUCAAAUUGUGAUUCAAAUUGAUUUUGCAAGCUAGCCACGGGACCCGCCAGCGUCCCGGUACGACAUCGAUUUAGGAUUGCAUGUGUGCCUUCUUCAUUAUCUCAGAGUGUGUUUUCCAUAGUUGUAUGUUUUUGUAGGGCUUUCCACACGGUAUUUUAUAUGGUGUAUCUUAUUGUGUUUUUCUACGUCCAUUGAAAAGAGGGGGAAGAAUCUAAAACCAUUUGUGUGAACUGAAAACGGGUGAAAGGAUUUUUUUUCCUCUAAAAGGAUUCUCCAGUGUUGAUGAAAUGCUAGACGCAGGGUUUGAUUAGAAGUGAGUUAUUUUUCGAGGUACAAACACUAUGGUAGGAAGACAUUGCCUCUCUCUUUUUUUUUCAUUUGUAAGAUAAAUAUGUCAUGAUCAUGAAGUCAUGUGUGAAUUUUCUCUCCGACUCUUUGAUUCUGUUUUGUAGGAUUUUUGUAGGAGUUCUGUACCCAUUUUGCACUUUAUUCGAUAAAAAAAAAAUGUGUACGGUAUAUUCACCAUAAAGGAUGGCAGGGUACAUUAUAUUCGUAGUAUUGGGAGUUCUGUCGGGAGUUUGAGUGAAGUGGACAACGGAUGGUGAUGGAUGAAGCAUAGCACUGCCAUUACAUGAAAUGGUACAACGAAUGUACCAUGGCGAUGUUCGAGUUUAUAUGUGUUCAUACGAGGGCGGGUUUAGACAAACUUGUAUUUGCUUUGUUACUUGCAUUGUGCAUAAUAUUCACUUACAGACGUUUUUACUCACACACAAGUAUAGGACCUACUUACAAUAUAUCAUUCAAAAAACACUGACCCCUUUCCCCCUCCUUUGCAGUGUAGAAUGCAGAACCUACAAAUGUUGUAACUAGCUACGGUACCAAAGUUUUCCUGAGGUUUACAUCUUUAUUUUUAUAAGUGGUAUUUUACAUGUUUAAAAUGUGACAAUAAAGUUUUACUAGCAAACAAAAAAAUCGGUGCUUUUUUCAAUGAUGAUGAGGUCAAACUUUGAAUAACACUACUACAUGUAUGUAUUCCAAGACAUUAAAGGUGAUCUGUGUAAGAACUACAGAUUCCUUCUCAUGACUGCCCCCUUAGGGCCGUAAGUGAACUGCAACCCGCUCAAGGUGCUCUAAAAAUGUAAAUUGGGAAAUCUGGAAUCGCUUAAAGGACAAUUCCUUUCUUUUUUCAGCAGCAAAAGACCCUGUCCCGUUUUAAAUAUAAUACAAAUCAGCCCCCAGCCCAAUGCAUGCAAUGAAAUGUAUGUAUUUAUUAUCCUUAUCAUGUGAUGAAGACUGUUACGUCAUUAUAGGGGCGGAUAAUGUAUGUAUUUAUUAUCCUUACCAUGUGAUGAAGACUGUUACGUCAUUAUAGGGGCUUCCCCGCUCUUGAUUCCCCUCCACAGGCUGUUUGUUCCCGCCGUGGACUGAUUGUGGGCGUGGGCGGGGACAUAAGCACACCUGUCCCGAUCUCUGCUGGAUGAUCCCGCCCAC
ensembl:lncRNA